rnacentral:lncRNA from 1 species
UUUAGAUUUUGUUAAUUAAAUCUAUGUGAUUGCUUUGAUUCCCUGUUUUAGUUUAGAUUUUUGGCUGGGAGUAAGCGAUUGCUUUACUUCCCUGUUUUGUUUUCGAAAUGAGCUGUAGUUAGUGAUGUAUUGUGUGAGUUGCUUUGUGAUCAUGUGUCAAAAUUUUCCUUUGCUAUUCUUUGGUUUUUGUUCCUAUCUUGGAGGAUUUGUUAUGGGUUAUUAUGGGUUAGCUUUGCGUAAUACUUAUCUGAUAUAAAGUAACUUAGAUUUUAAGAUGAGGAUGUGAUGCGCUGCAUAUACUUGGAAUGUUAAUAGUGGGUGAUUUUUAUUGGUUAAUUACCAGACUGUAGAAGAGGUAACACUUUUGUUUUAAUGGAAAUAGUCUCUCAAAUAUUUAUAGUUUCAGAUACAUAUGCUGCCUGCCAGUUAGUAUGGCAGUGAAGAUGGUCAUCCAAAUUCAGACAUUUCACUUUGAAUAAAUCCAUCAUUUUUUACAGAAACCCUGCAAUCAUGAGAAUAUUCUUCCUGCAAUAAAGAAAAUUCUCCACUCAAUUUAUACAUGUAUCAUGCAUGACAGAACCGUAGAGAUGGAAUAAUCAUAAGCAAUAGAACAAAUAUAGCAGGUUUCAAGUCAUUCUUCCAUAUUCUAAAGAUGCGAAAAAGAAUAUUAUGUGGCCAAAAGAAAAACGUGCAACUUAUUGUAAACGCCACAAUCAUCAUAUUUUCUCUAGAGAGUUCAUGUGAUGCCAAAUUUGAGCAUUUCUAUGGCUAACAUGUAUUCCUUUUCUUGCAAAAGAGAAUCAUGUUUCCUAGCGGAUGUUGUCUUUACAUUAUAAGCUGUUUUGUUGCUUGACUUUUUAUUCUUUGCACAUCCCUUUCUCUGUCAAUUUUGUCUUGAAAGGAGUAUAUGUCAUGUAUUGACUCCAUGAAAUGAUUUUAGAAAGGGAAGAAUUAUGCUGCUGUGAGGGUGAAGUCUUAAACCUGGAAGAAUCAUGCUGCUUUUAUGUAGUAGCCCGCUAUUUUAUUUUAAGAUUAAGAGCAAUAAAUGCAAUAUUUAUUUUUACAUCUUUCAGUUGAUUUAAUCCCGUGAUUAAUAUUCAGUUAAUUCAGCUCAGAGUUCUGAAUUAGAUGCCAUUACCUGAGAUGACCACGAUUGAAUUAUUGAGUAGUCAAUGAUUUAUUUCAGAAUGAUAAUUGACUUAGCGAAGUCAAGUUAUUAUUUUAUUUGCAAUAGAAAUAUUAUUUCUAUUUAUUUAACUUUAUUACUUGAGUCGUGAGUUUACUCCGAAUUGUGAAGUGAAUUAAAUUUACGGAUUUAAUUUAGAUGAUUUACGAGUCACGAUAUUAAUAGACGAAAAGUCAGCUAUGAAAUACGAAAUUAUUAGAUAUUUAGUAUUAUUAACAAAACCGGGAUUAGUAUUACAGAUACGCUAUAUUAGAAGAACGGGAUUAAUAUAAUACCGCUUUAUCAAGAUAUGAAGGAUUUUAUUAGUCACACCACAACUUUUCAAACUUUACAAUCAGCCGCAACUCUACACUAUCUAUUACAAACAUCACUCAAUUCCUAGCCUACUCCCUACAUUUCUAUUAUUACGGCAGCAAGCUGUCAAUCAGAAAAGAAAAGAAAAGCAUGCGUGUGGGGAAAGCAAGCUGUCAAGUCAGCCACCCUACACCUGCUGCCCUCUUUCAAGCAUGUCAUAGGAGAUGUAGAACUCAACAACUCCUUCUCCCUUAUAUUUGGUCAGCCAACAAAAUUCCCCUAGUUCUUCAUUCACGCAUCAACAAUCAAAAGGGAGGAAGUUGGUCUGGUGGCUACCGAGCUUCGAAGAGGUAAGCCUGAAUUAAGUUUUUCCUCCAUCACCUCCAUAGUUUCAGCCUGCAUUAUUUGGCCAACAACAUCUAUGGUUUAUUUCAGACUUUCAGUAAAUCCCCACAGAACUCGAAAAGCAACACAGCAGCCACCCAACAGUUUGAACAUAUCCAAGGUAUUUCACUAUCCCAAGUAUUCAAUCCAGUUCGCAUUCAUUUCAAAACAUGGCUAGUUUCGAUUAAUAAAUGACCAUAAGCAUGUUAAACUUAGCAAAGUUACAUGUUCUCUAAGGGAUAACAUCACUAGAAUUAAGAACUAAUAGAAAAUAGAGGGAGACGAGAGCUCAGCUUUUAGAGAAGGCGGGGCUACUGCCCUGUUUGUUCGGGCCGAAGGACGUCGAGUGGGCGGCAACUCGCGGGGAUAGCAGCGUCGGCGGCGUCGAGCGGUGAAAGGCAGACGACUCCCGACCUCGGCGAUGGCUCUCGCCGAUUCUGGAUUUCAGCAGCGGCGGAGUACCCUUCGCCCGAAUCCAGCAGCAGCGUGGCGUGGCUCGAACCGUCAGACCUCGGGGAAUCGACGGAGACGGCGAGAAACGCAACGGUUGCGGCAAGAUUGAGAGUGGGCUGAGGACCAGAGCUCGACCUCUGUCUCGGGUGUGUGUGUGCGUGUUCCCGGAGCUUCCAGAAGGGAGAAGAGGUGAGGAAUGGCGCCGGGCUCAGGCUCUACACCGGCGUCGCCGAUUUGGGAGAAGGAACGACCGCGGCUCAUCGAAAGUUCAGGGGCGGCGGCGGUGAUUUCCGAUUUGGGAGAAUUAGGGCUCAAAUUUUUGGGUGGCCUCCCUAAAUCUGAGAGACAGCAGCAGAAGCUCGGCCGGCACGGUCUUGCCGGAGCCGUUCGCAGCGGAACCGGCUGGAGACGGAGCGAGAGAGCGAAAGAGAGAGAAUGACCGAAAGUGAAGAAAAGAAAUGAGGAUGGGCUAGCUGCUAUUGGCCGAAUUCAUGGGCUGAUUUAUUUGAGGCUUAAUUAUUCAGCUGGGCUAUUUUACUAACCGGGCCGAUUCUUGUUAAGCAUACUGGGUGUCCCUAAUAAAUAGUUUCUAGGCCCAGUUCUUUAUUUUUAAUUGAGCUUUCUUAUGUUGCUCCUAUUUAAUAAUAAGAUUUUCCUAUUAUUUAUUUAGCCCGAUAAAGAGUAGUUUAGAUUAAUCUAUUAAUUGGAUUUAGUUAAUUCUGAUUAUGGAUUCUUUUGAACAAGAUUAUUAAUUAGUAAGCGGGUUAUAUACCUUAAGAUGAGUGGAUUAAUUAAGAUUAAUAAUCCGAUAUCAUAAGACGAGCUUUAAUCCAAUAAUUGGAUUAAUAAUUAAAGGAAUAUGAGUCAUGCAUAUUUAUUAUACCAUUCUCAUUAUUUGAGAAUUUUCAUCGAGCUAAGGUUUACCUUAUGUUCUCGCAUUAAAGGUUAAGCGCAAGAGUAAGAGCUAGUCAAGGAGUUACUGAACUGAAGCAAAGCUUUGCUAUCAGGUGGGCAUUACUUUCAUAAUAUCAAAUGAGUUUAAAUGUUACGUUCAAGCAAGUUAUUUCAUGAUAAAAUCUUUAAGUUAAAGUUAUUUCAAGUAUUGUCUUGCCAUAAAAUGUUUAAAUUUUAGUAUGAUAUCUAUCUGCUUUGGCUUUGCCAAUGAUGCAAUCGAAUUCGGGUCCUGAGCAGUUGAUAGCUAUCCUGCCAGGCUAGUGUACACCAGGACCGUGAGUCAUCUAGCGGGUUGGCCGGUCAAGUGCGUGAGAGGUGGCCACCUCUCCGGCACACAGUUCCAGAUAUGAUAGAUUACAAGAGAACUUAGCUGCAGCGAACUUUAAGAAUCACAAAUGAAUUAGUAAGCUUGGGCCUAUUUAGCGAAAACUCCCUUGUGUACUGUUUUGAUGGCAUGACAAUUUACAGUUUUUACGAAGCAUGUUUAUUUAUACUUAGGCAUACGUGCCCACUGAGUACUUGUACUCAGCCCUGCAUAUAUUUCUAAAUGUGCAGGUUGAGCAUGGCGAUGAGAUGAAGUGAGAGCGAGCUUUUGUCAAGUUAAUAAUAACUCUUGGAUACAUGUCUCAUACAUGUAAUCAGAUUAUGUUAUUUCCGCUGCGUAUCUUAAGUAAUAGUCUUUUGAAUUAAGUCGAUUCAUCGAAUUACAGUUUAUUGAUCUUUGUGCUAACUAAGUUAUUUAUGAUUCCCUUCGCUCAAGAUUAGUUCGAUCCUCAUUAUUUUACUCCCUUUCUAUCCCCGCUUCUAAUCUUCUCUCCCUUAGUCAGGUUUUUCCGCUUAAUUAUCCUUAAUUAGUCCGGUCGUGACAUUUUAGGUUGAAAGGGAUUUAGAUAAGUAGUAGUAUAGAAUAUAAGAAAGCUUUAAGUUGAAGCUUAAUUUAAUGAUGGAAAGGAAUAAAAUAGCAUAAGAAGUUCUCCAUAUCAGAAGUAUUUUAAAUAAGAAGGAACAAUGAGCAGGAGCAGCCAUCGUUGAACGCAUUUGUAAGUGAAAAUUCCGCCUUCCGCCGUCUCCCUCUCCCUCGCCCUCUCCGCCCCCGCCGGUGUAUUUGCCCUAUUUUGAAAGGUUUGUGAUUAUUCAUAAACUUUUGGUGCAUUUUU